rnacentral:rRNA from 1 species
UGGGGAAUUUUGGGCAAUGGGCGAAAGCCUGACCCAGCAACGCCGCGUGAAGGAUGAAGUAUUUCGGUAUGUAAACUUCGUAAGAAUAGGAAGAAUAAAUGACGGUACUAUUUGUAAGGUCCGGCUAACUACGUGCCAGCAGCCGCGGUAAUACGAAGGGGGCUAGCGUUGUUCGGAAUUACUGGGCGUAAAGCGCACGUAGGCGGGUUUGUAAGUAGAGGGUGAAAUCCCAGGGCUCAACCCUGGAACUGCCUUCUAGACUGCAAGCCUGGAGGUCAGGAGAGGCGAGUGGAAUACCGAGUGUAGAGGUGAAAUUCGUAGAUAUUCGGUGGAACACCAGUGGCGAAGGCGACUCGCUGGACUGAUACUGACGCUGAGGUGCGAAAGCGUGGGGAGCAAACAGGAUUAGAUACCCGGGUAGUCCCUGAGCGGGCUGGCAAGGCGCAU